GACGAACGCUGGCGGCGUGCUUAACACAUGCAAGUCGAACGAAGUGGCGAACGGGUGAGUAACGCGUAAUAAACCUGCCCUUCAGAGGGGGACAACCGUUGGAAACGACUGCUAAUACCGCAUACUGUAGGAGGGGAUUGCGUUUGAUGAGUUAGUUGGAGGGUGAACGGCCCACGAAGGCGAUGAUCAGUAGCCGAUCUGAGAGGGGGCACGGCCACAUUGGGACUGAGACACGGCCCAGACCUCUACGGGAGGCAGCAGUGGGGAAUCUUCCGCAAUGGACGGAAGUCUGACGGAGCAAAGCCGCGUGAGUGAUGACGGCCUGCGGGUUGUAAAGCUAUGUUAAUCGGGACGCGGUACCGGAAUAGAAAGCCACGGCUAACUACGUGCCAGCAGCCGCGGUAAUAC
rnacentral:rRNA from 1 species